rnacentral:tRNA from 1 species
GCCUGGGUGGCUCAGUUGGUUAAGCUUCUGACUUCAGCUCGGGUCAUGAUCUCACAGUUGUGAGUUCAGGUCUCGCAUCAGGCU